rnacentral:rRNA from 1 species
UACAGAGGUCUCAAGCGUUGUUCGGAUUCAUUGGGCGUAAAGGGUGCGUAGGCGGCGCGGUAAGUCGGAUGUGAAAUCUCGGAGCUUAACUCCGAAACUGCAUUCGAUACUGCCGUGCUUGAGGACUGGAGAGGAGACUGGAAUUUACGGUGUAGCGGUGAAAUGCGUAGAUAUCGUAAGGAAGACCAGUGGCGAAGGCGGGUCUCUGGACCAUAACUGACGCUGAUGCACGAAAGCGUGGGGAGCAAACAGG